UGACGCUAAAUUAAUAUUAUAGCAAAUUAAGAACUUUAUGUCUUGAAUUCAGUUCUGAGAUACUAAAUCUUUUACAGUGUAAACACAUAAAUAUCUGACGAUGGAAGUGUUUAAAAGGUCGUUACCUCAACAACAGUGCAAGUGUAACUAAUAAAGCUAUAAUAUCUUGUUUAAAAUGGAGCUUCUAACCCCUCCUCAAUGUAAGUACUGUUUGAAAACGUAUAGCAAACUUAAAGAGCCUAUUUAUACUGUUUGCACAUGCGAAAACAGACCAAAGUUUGCGCAUGGAAGUUGUUUUAGAGAUUGGUUAAAAACUUACAAAUAUGGUGUGUGUGAAAUAUGCUUAGCAAAAAGUAAACUUGUACGGAAUGGAUAUAAAAAUCUUCGCAAGACGUACUUUUUGCUGCUAUGUUUGUUUUGCUGUAUGUUUGAAUUGUCUGCGUAGCCUAUUUUUAGAUUUGUGAACAUUUUUAUCAGAAGUGUUAAUUUGAUGCAUAAAUGGUUUCAUAGCCGAUUCUAUACGGUUUUUAAUAAAUGUGGGACUACGUGUGUUCUGGUGAAGCGCUUGUCAUAUAAAACAUUUAAUAAACUUGGAAAACUAGCUUUAUCAAUAUUUUUGUAUUCUGAUAACUAAUAAUUUAAAUUUAACACGUAUUAAAAACAAUAUAUUCCAGUUUCAAAUUUUUUUCUGGCAAUACCUUUAACUGCUGGGCCAUCAUAACCAUUUUAUAAACUUCAUUUUCUCUAUAUAUCCAAAAUAUUAUAUCGUUUGCAAGUAGAUAUUGUAUAGAAGUAGAAGCCUGGUGCAUUUACGCAGCUGUUUACAAUAAAGUCAAUUUUUUUAAUGUUUCCAGUAUGUUUGAGAUGUUGCUUUGAACUAUUUUGGCAUAAAUUUGUUUUUCUUCUGCUAUAACCACACUCAAUGCAGUUCCAAAUAUGUGAGGUUUUUAAGAAAUCAAUUUUCAUUGCAUUGUUUGAUGUAAUUCUCAAAGUAAAUGUCAAUUAUAUUUAAAGUUCAAGAUAAUCCUCUGUUUGAUGCAAUGUUACUUAUUUUGCGUAAUGCUACAUCAUGCUUCCAUCUUUAAAUUACUACCAAUGUAAUAUAGGUUUGCCUUUUUUGAAUAAAUUUUCAUUGUUUUGCGUUUAUCAAGUAGUGUUGUACAAUAGAAACUAAAUCAGCUUGUAUCAGACCAUAUUAGCAAACAUUGAAAUAUUGAAUUAGAUGAAUCAACAGCGUUUCAGUUUUUACUUGAUAAAGCUGACUUUCGUUAUUACUUUUAUUUCUGUCAAUCAAUAUCAAUUUUAGUACUUUAAAUUUGAA
rnacentral:misc_RNA from 1 species